AUUGAACGCUGGCGGCAGGCCUAACACAUGCAAGUCGAACGGUAACAGGAAACAGCUUGCUGUUUCGCUGACGAGUGGCGGACGGGUGAGUAAUGUCUGGGAAACUGCCUGAUGGAGGGGGAUAACUACUGGAAACGGUAGCUAAUACCGCAUAACGUCGCAAGACCAAAGAGGGGGACCUUUGGGCCUCUUGCCAUCGGAUGUGCCCAGAUGGGAUUAGCUAGUAGGUGGGGUAACGGCUCACCUAGGCGACGAUCCCUAGCUGGUCUGAGAGGAUGACCAGCCACACUGGAACUGAGACACGGUCCAGACUCCUACGGGAGGCAGCAGUGGGGAAUAUUGCACAAUGGGCGCAAGCCUGAUGCAGCCAUGCCGCGUGUAUGAAGAAGGCCUUCGGGUUGUAAAGUACUUUCAGCGGGGAUGAAGGGAGUAAAGUUAAUACCUUUGCUCAUUGACGUUACCCGCAGAAGAAGCACCGGCUAACUCCGUG
rnacentral:rRNA from 1 species